AGUUUAUCCUGGCUCAGAGCGAACGCUGGCGGCAGGCUUAACACAUGCAAGUCGAACGGGCACCUUCGGGUGUCAGUGGCAGACGGGUGAGUAACACGUGGGAACGUACCCUUCGGUUCGGAAUAACUCAGGGAAACUUGAGCUAAUACCGGAUACGCCCUUUUGGGGAAAGGUUUACUGCCGAAGGAUCGGCCCGCGUCUGAUUAGCUUGUUGGUGGGGUAACGGCCUACCAAGGCGACGAUCAGUAGCUGGUCUGAGAGGAUGAUCAGCCACACUGGGACUGAGACACGGCCCAGACUCCUACGGGAGGCAGCAGUGGGGAAUAUUGGACAAUGGGCGCAAGCCUGAUCCAGCCAUGCCGCGUGAGUGAUGAAGGCCUUAGGGUUGUAAAGCUCUUUUGUCCGGGACGAUAAUGACGGUACCGGAAGAAUAAGCCCCGGCUAACUUCGUGCCAGCAGCCGCGGUAAUACGAAGGGGGCUAGCGUUGCUCGGAAUCACUGGGCGUAAAGGGCGCGUAGGCGGCCGAUUAAGUCGGGGGUGAAAGCCUGUGGCUCAACCACAGAAUUGCCUUCGAUACUGGUUGGCUUGAGACCGGAAGAGGACAGCGGAACUGCGAGUGUAGAGGUGAAAUUCGUAGAUAUUCGCAAGAACACCAGGCGAAGGCGGCUGGUCCGACGCGCGAAAGCGGA
rnacentral:rRNA from 1 species